GACGAACGCUGGCGGCGUGCCUAAUACAUGCAAGUCGAACGAAGCUGUUUUAACUGGUGCUUGCACCGACUUAAACAACUGAGUGGCGAACGGGUGAGUAACACGUGGGUAACCUGCCCCAAAGCGGGGGAUAACAUUUGGAAACAGAUGCUAAUACCGCAUAAUCACAGAAACCACAUGGUUUCUGUGUCAAAGAUGGUUUCGGCUAUCACUUUGGGAUGGACCCGCGGCGUAUUAGCCAGUUGGUAAGGUAAUGGCUUACCAAGGAAAUGAUACGUAGCCGAACUGAGAGGUUGAUCGGCCACAUUGGGACUGAGACACGGCCCAAACUCCUACGGGAGGCAGCAGUAGGGAAUCUUCCACAAUGGACGAAAGUCUGAUGGAGCAACGCCGCGUGAGUGAAGAAGGUUUUCGGAUCGUAAAACUCUGUUGUCAGAGAAGAACGUGUGCGAGAGUAACUGUUCGUGCUGUGACGGUAUCUGGCCAGAAAGCCACGGCUAACUACGUGCCAGCAGCCGCCGUAA
rnacentral:rRNA from 1 species